rnacentral:lncRNA from 1 species
AGACUGGGUCCUGCUGUACUGGCCUGGAGCUGACUAUGAAGAUCAAGCUGACCUCUAACUUCUGGUGAACCUUCUUCCUAUUUCUUCUGUGUGCUGUGAUUAUAGGCAUUGCUAUUACCUGGUCUCACCCUGCUUAUUCAUAGUUCUGUUUUAACACAGGGUCUUGUGUACCUGAUGCCUGCCUUGAAUUUGUUCUUCCAGCCCUGGAGCUCUGUGCAGACCAGGCUCACCUUGAACUUUAAGAAAUCUGCCUGUACUGCUUCCCUAAGUGCUCAGGCUAUAGGCAUGAGCCCCCAUACCUAGUCCUCAACAGCUUCAGUGCUCAUAGUACUGCAUCUCUCUUGCCUUCUAGGUUAGGCUGCCUGAUGGGACUUCACUGACCCAAACCUUCCGGGCCCGGGAGCAGCUGGCAGCUGUGAGGCUCUAUGUGGAGCUUCACCGAGGGGAGGAACCUGGACAGGACCAGGACCCGGUGCAGUUGCUCAGUGGCUUCCCCAGACGGGCUUUCUCAGAGGCUGACAUGGAACGGCCUCUGCAGGAACUGGGACUCGUGCCUUCUGCUGUCCUCAUUGUGGCCAAGAAGUGUCCCAGCUGAGGGUCCUCCAUCCCACCAUCUCUGUCUGACCUCUUCAUCUUUGAUAAAGCACUGACAUUUCCUUCCUAAUAAAUAGACCCUUUGAGUUCUGU